rnacentral:rRNA from 1 species
AUUGAACGCUAGCGGGAUGCUUUACACAUGCACGUCGAACGAGUGGCGGACGUGUGAGUAAUAUAUCUGAACGUGCCCAGUAGCUGGGGAUCUCUACUCGAAAGAGUGGCUACUACCGCCUACUAUUGUAGCGGCCUCUAUCGGAUUAGCUAGUUGGUGGGGUAAAGGGUCACCAAGGCAACGAUCCGUAGCUGGUUUGAGAGGACGACCAGACACACGGGGACUGAGACACGGCCAAGAAGCCGACGGGAGGAAGCAGUGGGGAAGAUGGAACAAUGGGGGCAAGCCUGAGGCAGCCAUGCCGCGUGUAGGAGAAGGCCAUAGGGUUGUAAAGUACUUUCAGUCGGGAGGCGUUACCGACAGAAGAAGCACAGGCUAACUCCGUGCCAGCAGCCGCGGUAAUUC